ACAAGGUGUGGUGGUGCACGCCUGUGGUCCUAGCUACUCGGGAGGCUGAGGCAGGAGGAUGGCUUCAGUCCAGGAGUUCUGGGCUAUAGUGUGCCGUGUCAACUGGGUGUCAGCACUAAGUUUGGCAUCAAUAUGGGAGCAGGGGACCACCAGGUUGUUUAAGGAGGGAGUGGGUGCGCUGGCUCACAUCAGAAAUGGAGCAGGUCAAAACUCCUGUGCUGAUCAGUCAUGGGAUCACACCUGUGAGAGCCACUGCACUCCUGCCUGGGCAACAUCGUGAGAUCUGUCUCUU
rfam:Chlorocebus sabaeus isolate 1994-021 chromosome 3, whole genome shotgun sequence.